rnacentral:rRNA from 1 species
UACGGGGGGGGGCAAGCGUUGUUCGGAAUUACUGGGCGUAAAGGGCCAGUAGGCGGCCAACUAAGUCCGACGUGAAAUCCCCAGGCUUAACCUGGGAACUGCGUCGGAUACUGGAUGGCUUGAAUUCGGGAGAGGGAUGCAGAAUUCCAGGUGUAGCGGUGAAAUGCGUAGAUAUCUGGAGGAAUACCGGUGGCGAAGGCGGCAUCCUGGACCGGCAUUGACGCUGAGGCGCGAAAGCUAGGGGAGCAAACGGGG